rnacentral:antisense_RNA from 1 species
GCGAUAGCUGAACUCCCAGGUCACCUCGUCGCUGGUGAGCGGUGCAUCGCCCAGGUGGUCGCCGCCGGCCAGGGCGGCCAGCACGGUGGUGUCGCCGUACUUGCCGGUGCCGAUACGGUCCACCCGCCCGUGCGCGAUCAGCACCAGCCGGUCCCCGGGCCCGCCCGCCUCGGCGAUCAGCUCCCCGGGGGCGUAUUCCCGCUGGGUGAACCGUUCCCCCAGCGCGGCCAGCACCUCGGUAUCGGUGAAGUCCCGCAGUGCGGGCAGUUCGCGCAGUUCCUCGGGAAUGAUCGCGACAUCGGAGCCGGAAAUAUCGAAAUCGAUCCGCCCGUCGCCGACGGUGUGCGACAGCCGGCGGUUGACCCGAUACGUACCACCGGAGACCUGAACCCAGGGCAGCAGCCGCAGCAGCCAGCGGGAGGUGAUCCCCUGCAUCUGCGGAACGGUUUUGGUGGUGGUCGCCAAAUUCCGCGCUGCGGCGGUACUCAGGCUCGAAUGCGAGGUGUCUUCCG